rnacentral:rRNA from 1 species
CCCGCUGAACUUAAGCAUAUCAAUAAGCGGAGGAAAAGAAACUAACAAGGAUUCCCCUAGUAACGGCGAGUGAAGCGGGAAGAGCUCAAAUUUAAAAUCUGGCAUCUUUGGUGCCCGAGUUGUAAGCUAAAGAGGCGUUUUCGGCGGGCGCUCAGGUAUAAGUUCCUUGGAACAGGACAUCAUAGAGGGUGAGAAUCCCGUCUUUAACUUGAGUCAGGCUGCCAUGAGAUACGCUCUCAAAGAGUCGGUUUGUUUGGGAAUGCAGACCAAAAUGGGUGGUAAAUUCCAUCUAAAGCUAAAUAUUGGCGAGAGACCGAUAGCGAACAAGUACCGUGAGGGAAAGAUGAAAAGCACUUUGAAAAGAGAGUUAAACAGCACGUGAAAUUGUUGAAAGGGAAACGUUUGGAAUCAGUCAUGUUUGCGGGGAAAUCAGCCGGACCUUUGGGUAUGGUGUAUUUUCUCCGUGGGCAGGUCAGCGUGGGUUUUGGUUGGCAGAAAAUGAGUCUAGGGAAUGUAGCUCUUCGGAGUGUUAUAGCCCUUGGUAAAUAUGCUGACUGAGACCGAGGUCUGCAGCCAGCCGGCAACGGCAGAGAUGGGUACGGGCUGGUAUCGUCCUCGUGGUGGACAGCGUGCUGACCACGACUAGGAAGCGAUGCCACUCCUGUAACAGCUUCUUUCUGGCUUAGGAUGCUGACAUAAUGAUUCUAAAUGACCCGUCUUGAAACACGG